rnacentral:rRNA from 1 species
ACCUCGGAUCAGGUAGGAAUACCCGCUGAACUUAAGCAUAUCAAUAAGCGGAGGAAAAGAAACCAACAGGGAUUGCCCUAGUAACGGCGAGUGAAGCGGCAACAGCUCAAAUUUGAAAUCUGGCCUUCGGGUCCGAGUUGUAAUUUGUAGAGGAUGCUUUUGGUGAGGUGCCUUCCGAGUUCCCUGGAACGGGACGCCAUAGAGGGUGAGAGCCCCGUCUGGUUGGACACCGAUCCUCUGUAAAGCUCCUUCGACGAGUCGAGUAGUUUGGGAAUGCUGCUCUAAAUGGGAGGUAUAUGUCUUCUAAAGCUAAAUAUUGGCCAGAGACCGAUAGCGCACAAGUAGAGUGAUCGAAAGAUGAAAAGCACUUUGAAAAGAGAGUUAAAAAGUACGUGAAAUUGUUGAAAGGGAAGCGCUCAUGACCAGACUUGGGCUUGGUUGAUCAUCCAGGGUUCUCCCUGGUGCACUCUUCCAGUUCAGGCCAGCAUCAGUUCGCUGUGGGGGAUAAAGGCUUUGGGAAUGUGGCUCCCUCGGGAGUGUUAUAGCCCAUUGUGUAAUACCCUGUGGUGGACNGA